GUACUGCUGAGGAGUCCCAUACCAGGACGAAACGGCCGUUCAGUGC
rfam:Schistosoma margrebowiei strain Zambia genome assembly, scaffold: SMRZ_contig0000208